UGUCGUGAGAUGUUGGGUUAAGUCCCGCAACGAGCGCAACCCCUAUUGUUAGUUGCCAUCAUUCAGUUGGGCACUCUAGCGAGACUGCCGGUAAUAAACCGGAGGAAGGUGGGGAUGACGUCAAAUCAUCAUGCCCCUUAUGUUCUGGGCUACACACGUGCUACAAUGGCCGGUACAGACGGACGCAAAGCCGCGAGGUGGAGCAAAUCCUAAAAAGCCGGUCUCAGUUCGGAUUGCAGGCUGCAAUUCGCCUGCAUGAAGUCGGAAUCGCUAGUAAUCGCAGGUCAGCAUACUGCGGUGAAUACGUUCCCGGGCCUU
rnacentral:rRNA from 1 species